CAGCCCUGUGCUCAACGCAUUGACAUGGACAUGCUGACCCAACAAAUUGGUGUGCUACGCAUUGGACAUGAGGCCAUGCAAAACACUACAACUUGAACCCAGCAAGCCCUCCUAGAUCUCCAAGUCCAACACAACAUAGACUGGAACAGGAUGUAUGCACACCAACAGAGGCCACUACCACCAAAUAUUCCAUUCAUUCCUAUGCUACCACAGCGGCAGCAAGACCCAUCUCCACAGUAUCCUCCACCAUAUCGUCAGCAACCCUCAUAUCCACCACCAUAUCCAUAUAACUAUCCACCAUAUCAGUGAGGAGGCAUGAGAAGAGACAAGCUUGGGGGAGAUCCUCUCCCCACCAAGGUAAGCAUUCUGGCCC
rnacentral:lncRNA from 1 species